GAUGAAGAACGUAGUGAAAUGCGAUAAGUAAUGUGAAUUGCAGAAUUCAGUGAAUCAUCGAAUCUUUGAACGCACAUUGCGCCCGCCAGUAUUCUGGCGGGCAUGCCUGUUCGAGCGUCAUUACAACCCUCAGGCCCCCGGGCCUGGCGUUGGGGAUCGGCGGAGCCCCCCGUGGGCACACGCCGUCCCCCAAAUACAGUGGCGGUCCCGCCGCAGCUUCCAUCGCGUAGUAGCUAACACCUCGCGACUGGAGAGCGGCGCGGCCAAGCCGUAAAACACCCAACUCUUCUGAAGUUGACCUCGAAUCAGGUAGGAAUACCCGCUGAACUUAAGCAUAUCAAUAAGCGGAGGA
rnacentral:misc_RNA from 1 species